GUCUGCCUGAUGAACCAAACUACUCAGUAAUCUCCUCCAUGAAGACUGGGGGUCAACCUGAUGAACCAAACUACUCAGUAAUCUCCUCCAUGAAGACUGGGGGUCAGCCUGAUGAACCAAACUACUCAGUAAUCUCCUCCAUGAAGACUGGAGGUCAGCCUGAUGAACCAAACUACUCAGUAAUCUCCUCCAUGAAGACUGGAGGUCAGCCUGAUGAACCAAACUACUCAGUAAUCUCCUCCAUGAAGACUGGAGGUCAGCCUGAUGAACCAAACUACUCAGUAAUCUCCUCCAUGAAGACUGGGGGUCAGCCUGAUGAACCAAACUACUCAGUAAUCUCCUCCAUGAAGACUGGGGGUCAGCCUGAUGAACCAAACUACUCAGUAAUCUCCUCCAUGAAGACUGGGGGUCAGCCUGAUGAACCAAACUACUCAGUAAUCUCCUCCAUAUAGCCUAACUCACACACAUGCACACUCAUUUAAACAAAACAAGUAUUUAUUUUUGGGUGAUUACUGAUCAGUUCAUUUAUACAUGUAUAAUUAGUAUGUUUUGUUAUCUGUUUUAUUUUGGACUUGUGUAUUGUGUACAGUUUUUAUUGUGGUUUUUAUAUAAUUCUUUGGGCUUCUAACCACACCUGCAAACUGUUUUUUAAAUGUUUUUAUCUGUAUUGUUGUCUACCACUUGUUUUGUUGGGUGCGAGUAAAUAAAACUAGACAGACAGACAGAUAGAGGGGGGAGUAGGGUGUCUGUUAGAUCUGGAACUCUGUCCUUAUCUUUAAAAAGACUCAAAUGGUUUCCCCACAAACCAUCACAAUCAUCAUGCAUGUGUUUCAGAGCAUCUCUGCUUUUCAGUGUUGUUGUAUGCAUUCAGCUGUUUCCUUUGGUGAUGAGUGGUGACCUCAGGAAUAAAGAUUGUCCUCUGUCUGUCUCUCUCUCUCUCUCUCUCUCUCUGUAUGUGUGUCUUUCUCUGUGUCUCUCUUUCCCUCUCUCUCUCUCAGGUCUGGAGCUGAACGGGAUGGGGGUUGAUAAAGGGGAGACUCCUCCUCCCCUGCCCGUGAAGGGCAUCUCUGCUGAUUAUGGGAACCUGCUAGGAGAUAAUCAAGACUUGACGAGUCCCUCCACCCCUCCCCUGACACACCAUCAAAGGCAUCUGCCACCACCUCUUCCCAGCAAGACCCCUCCUCCCCCUCCUCCUAAGACCACCAGGAAACAAGCCUCCAUCGAUUCAGGAAUUGUACAAUGAACAAUGACAUUAAGACACCCGAUAUAAAAAAA
rnacentral:lncRNA from 1 species